CAACAAUGAGUAAGGUUAUCUUAGUAAUAGUUCUUAUUUCUAUAUCACAUUAUGUGACUAGCUUCGAUCUAAGUGAUGCACUUGAUGGGCACAUCACAGAUGAUAUGACUACAACACAAAAACCUUCAAAAGUGGUACCAACUGAAGACUUUAGUGACUCCGAUCUUCUAGCAAUUUUAUCCGAAAACAAGAAAAAACCAAAGGCAUCAUCAGAAGCUCAACAAACAAAUGACUUACUUAAAAAUAUCAAACAAAAACUUGAUCUAGUCGACUUCAAAAGUGUUGGUAAACAAAUCGAAGGUUAUCUAAGACCAAAUUUUAAAAAGGCAUCGGAUACUAUUUUGAACUGGAUUAAAAUUACGGGAGCCAGUCGGAAGAUCCAACCCUGCGUAAAUGACGUCCAUCUUGUUUUAUCAAAGCUUGUUACAGAUACUGCUAAGAAAAUUUCACAAACGAGAAAAAUUGAACAAAUUCAUAAAAUGUAUACAGAAGGUUUAUACAAAGUACUUAAUACGGUAAAACAAUGCUUUAUGUCAAAACUUAAAUAACUGUGAAAUAUUUGCCAAAACAAAUGUAAAUCAUUUUCAAAGUAGGAAAUGAAAAUGAAUAAUUUCAUCGUA